CUGCAACCUGCUCCCAGAAACAAUUGAGGCUAUAAUGUGUUCACAUGAUUGGCUCAAAGGUCGCAUACCAGGUGCAUAUUUCUACUCCUAAAUAAUAUUUUUGGUACUUAUAUAUAGGCUUUCUAACAUUAUUUUAUAUCAAACAGUCGAUCCUUGAGUUGUUGAAGAUAACAUAUCUACUUAUGAAUCAUCUGUACCAACUCCAAAUCAAGAAGAUCAAAUUGAUGGUGAUUAAGGAGCAGGAUCAGACUAGGUUCCCAUACAAUUUUGCAGUCCCUGAGUGCUUUGUUUUGCUGUCAAGUAGCUAUACAUCAUUUUAACUCCCAUCUCAUAGGCAAGGUCGCUAUGAGAUGUGAAGGCCUUUUGUUUCGUACUUCUACUAUAUUUCUGGUUAUCUUGUACUCUACAAAUAGGCAUGAAAGGAUUGGUCAGUGCUCAUGCUAUGAUUAUUGUACAUGUCCAGUAAUUUGGACAAGUGACUUAGGUUCUAAAGUUCACAAUGUGAUCUGUGCAUCUCCAUUUGUCUGGACAAGUGACUUAGCCUGUCUCUGAUAUUCGUUGGUUAUUUAAUUAUCUGAGAUUAAUGUUAUAUUGUAUUAUAAGAAUGAA